GUUUGUUUAAUUUAGUGGAAAUGGAAUAAGUUAUUUACGAGAAAGUCCGAAAUCAAGAAAAAGAUUCUAUGCAUUUCUAACCAGUUUUUGAUCAAGUUAAUGGGUCUGCGCGAGACAGCAGGAUCAAGAUCAUAGGUAAGCGCCUAAUAUGCCUUUCCACACAGAGAGUGCAUUGCCACUUUGAGAUUUUUUUUGGAAAGAUAAAGCUAGACUUAAAUAGAAUUAAAACAGAUGUCGAGGAAUCCAUAACACUGCAUAACUGAAAUCUCUAAACCCAAAAACAGAUCUUGAAAAUCGUUUCGUAGCCGAAUACAAUGAGGGACAUGUCCUCAUACAUAUAUCCAAUAUUUUUACCACUACAGAAAACAUUUUAGGAACCGGAUUCAAAAAAUUCACCAGAGCCAAUUUGACGGGAUAAGAUUAUAUACCAUCAACAAAAGACUUAGAAGUAUCUCAUGUACAACAAAUAUUAAAUAUAUAAUGCCUGAUCAAAUAGUAGUUGUGCUUUUUCUUGGUAUU